rnacentral:rRNA from 1 species
UACGAAGGGGGCUAGCGUUGCUCGGAAUUACUGGGCGUAAAGGGAGCGUAGGCGGACAGUUAAGUCAGAGGUGAAAGCCCAGGGCUCAACCUUGGAAUUGCCUUUGAUACUGGCUGUCUUGAGUAUGGGAGAGGUAAGCGGAACUCCGAGUGUAGAGGUGAAAUUCGUAGAUAUUCGGAAGAACACCAGUGGCGAAGGCGGCUUACUGGCCCAUUACUGACGCUGAGGCUCGAAAGCGUGGGGAGCAAACAGG